GAUGAACGCUAGCGGCAGGCCUAAUACAUGCAAGUCGAACGGGAUUGAGUAGCAAUAUUCAUGAGAGUGGCGCACGGGUGCGUAACACGUAUGUAACUUACACUUAACUGGGGGAUAGCUCCGAGAAAUCGGGUAUUAAUACCGCAUAACAUCUUAGUAACACAUGUUACAGAGAUCAAAGCUCAGGCGGUUAAGUAUGGACAUGCGCGACAUUAGCUAGUUGGUGAGGUAACGGCUCACCAAGGCUACGAUGUCUAGGGGGUCUAAGAGGAUGUCCCCCCANACUGGUACUGAGACACGGACCAGACUCCUACGGGAGGCAGCAGUAGGGAAUAUUGGGCAA
rnacentral:rRNA from 1 species